rnacentral:rRNA from 1 species
AGUGAACGCUGGCGGUAGGCCUAACACAUGCAAGUCGAACGGCAGCACAGUAAGAGCUUGCUCUUACGGGUGGCGAGUGGCGGACGGGUGAGGAAUACAUCGGAAUCUACUUUUUCGUGGGGGAUAACGUAGGGAAACUUACGCUAAUACCGCAUACGACCUACGGGUGAAAGCAGGGGAUCUUCGGACCUUGCGCGAUUGAAUGAGCCGAUGUCGGAUUAGCUAGUUGGCGGGGUAAAGGCCCACCAAGGCGACGAUCCGUAGCUGGUCUGAGAGGAUGAUCAGCCACACUGGAAGUGAGACACGGUCCAGACUCCUACGGGAGGCAGCAGUGGGGAAUAUUGGACGAUGGGCGCAAGCCUGAUCCAGCCAUACCGCGUGGGUGAAGAAGGCCUUCGGGUUGUAAAGCCCUUUUGUUGGGAAAGAAAAGCAGCAGGUUAAUACCCCGCUGUUCUGACGGUACCCAAAGAAUAAGCACCGGCUAACUUCGUG